rnacentral:rRNA from 1 species
AACGAACGCUGGCGGCAUGCCUAACACAUGCAAGUCGAACGAGACCUUCGGGUCUAGUGGCGCACGGGUGCGUAACGCGGGGGAACCUGCCCUUAGGUUCGGAAUAACUCCCCGAAAGGGGUGCUAAUACCGGAUAAUGUCUUCGGACCAAAGGUUUAUCGCCUUUGGAUGGGCCCGCGUGGGAUUAGCUAGUUGGUAGGGUAAAAGCCUACCAAGGCGACGAUCCAUAACUGGGAUGAGAGGAUGAUCAGCCACACUGGGACUGGGACACGGCCCAGACUCCUACGGGAGGCAGCAGUGGGGAAUAUUGGACAAUGGGCGAAAGCCUGAUCCAGCAAUGCCGCGUGAGUGAUGAAGGCCUGAGGGUUGUAAAGCUCUUUUACCCGGGAUGAUAAUGACAGUACCGGGAGAAUAAGCUCCGGCUAACUCCGUG